rnacentral:rRNA from 1 species
UCCUGGCUCAGGAUGAACGCGGGCGGCGUGCUUAACACAUGCAAGUCGAACGAACCUUCGGGUUAGUGGCGGACGGGUGAGUAACGCGUGAGAAUCUGCCCUCAGGAGGGGGAUAACGGCUGGAAACGGCCGCUAAUACCCCAUAUGCCGAGAGGUGAAAUGAAUUUCGCCUGAGGAUGAGCUCGCGUCUGAUUAGCUAGUUGGUGGGGUAAGGGCCCACCAAGGCUUCGAUCAGUAGCUGGUCUGAGAGGAUGAUCAGCCACACUGGGACUGAGACACGGCCCAGACUCCUACGGGAGGCAGCAGUGGGGAAUUUUCCGCAAUGGGCGCAAGCCUGACGGAGCAACGCCGCGUGAGGGAUGAAGGCCUCUGGGCUGUAAACCUCUUUUAUCAAGGAAGAAGAUCUGACGGUACUUGAUGAAUAAGCCACGGCUAAUUCCGUGCCAGCAGCCGCGGUAAUACGGGAGUGGCAAGCGUUAUCCGGAAUUAUUGGGCGUAAAGCGUCCGCAGGCGGUCUUGUAAGUCUGUCGUUAAAGCGUGGAGCUUAACUCCAUUUCGGCGAUGGAAACUACAAGACUAGAGUGUGGUAGGGGCAGAGGGAAUUCCCGGUGUAGCGGUGAAAUGCGUAGAUAUCGGGAAGAACACCAGUGGCGAAGGCGCUCUGCUGGGCCAUAACUGACGCUCAUGGACGAAAGCCAGGGGAGCGAAAGGGAUUAGAUACCCCUGUAGUCCUGGCCGUAAACGAUGAACACUAGGUGUCGGGGGAAUCGACCCCCUCGGUGUCGUAGCCAACGCGUUAAGUGUUCCGCCUGGGGAGUACGCACGCAAGUGUGAAACUCAAAGGAAUUGACGGGGGCCCGCACAAGCGGUGGAGUAUGUGGUUUAAUUCGAUGCAACGCGAAGAACCUUACCAGGGUUUGACAUCCUGCGAAUCCCUUGGAAACGAGGGAGUGCCUUCGGGAGCGCAGAGACAGGUGGUGCAUGGCUGUCGUCAGCUCGUGUCGUGAGAUGUUGGGUUAAGUCCCGCAACGAGCGCAACCCACGUCUUUAGUUGCCAGCAUUUAGUUGGGCACUCUAGAGAGACCGCCGGUGAUAAACCGGAGGAAGGUGUGGAUGACGUCAAGUCAUCAUGCCCCUUACAUCCUGGGCUACACACGUACUACAAUGCUACGGACAAAGGGCAGCAAACUCGCGAGAGCUAGCAAAUCCCAUAAACCGUGGCUCAGUUCAGAUCGUAGGCUGCAACUCGCCUACGUGAAGGCGGAAUCGCUAGUAAUCGCAGGUCAGCAUACUGCGGUGAAUACGUUCCCGGGCCUUGUACACACCGCCCGUCACACCAUGGAAGUUGGCCACGCCCGAAGUCGUUACUCCAACCCUUGUGGAGGAGGACGCCGAAGGUGGGGCUGAUGACUGGGGUGAAGUCGU